UAAAUACUUACUUAUGUGCUAGCGAUCGAAAUAUUCGGAAGUGUAUAAAGAACAUUUCAUUUUCAGACCAUGUAAGUCCUCAAGUUCACUUCAACUGGAAGGAAGUGAGAGAAAAGCAACAUAAAAUCUUGGUUUAUUUUGUUGAACAGAUCCUGAAAGAAGAGUUUUCUUUAAAGUGUUUUGUGGAUUAUCUUAUAUGUUAUAUAGUUAUGUUUUCCAUUAAGGCUGAUUUGUAUGUGGUUAUAUUUACCAUCAUAUGCUUUACGGCAGUUAAAGAAAUGGGAGCCGUUACGUGUUACGAAUGUUCAACGAACUUUCUGGAGAGCAAUAGAAAAGCCAAUAAAAACUGUCCCAUUAAUGGUUAUGUAAGGAAUAUUGCUGUCAACAACUGCGACGGAAAAUGCAUUUAUAGAACAAAUGCGCAAUAUCCCGGAAUUUACUUUCGCUCCUGCUCAAAGAUUCAUAGUCUACCAAAAGAUCUCCCAGACUCAGGUUGUUAUUCUUACGGUGAUGAUGUAUAUUGCUUUUGUAACAAGGAUAACUGUAAUGGCGCACCGAUUGGAGACAAACUUAAUCAAACUGUUGAAGAGCUUCCGUUUCCUGAUAAAUCAAAGGAUAGUGAAAACUUUACCAAACAAUGCUUCUCUUGCCAAAGUAUGCUGGGAAACGGGCAGAAGAAUGAAAACUGUCCUGGUGAUGGAAAGCUGAAAACGUUGGCGACGAUCUACAGAGAAAAUUGUACAGAAGGAGUAUGUCUUACCAGAACUAUAGUACAACAGAAAGGCGUGGUGGCCCGAGGAUGUUCAAAGCACAUAUAUAAGUUUCCAAAACUGCUUCCAGAAGAGGGCUGUUAUAAAUAUUACAUGGACGUGAUUUGUUUUUGUAGAAAGCAUCUUUGCAAUAGGAUGGCUCUAGGAAAGCCAAAAAACAAGGAGUUAGACUAUUUGGAAUUAGAAAAGUUGAAAAACGCAUCUGCAGUACAUAAACUACCAGUCACUUUAUUUACGUUUAUAUGGCUAUAUUUGCUGAUCGGGAUCAUAUUGGAUUACCACCUAAGACAACAAUAGUUUGGUAAAGAAGGAGGAGGAUAAAUAAAAUAUAUGAAGAAAGAGAGAUACCCAACAUCUACCAAAGUAAUAAUCUUGAAGAAAUCUAUUCUAUAAUGGAUUCCUAUUCCUUGAUACGCAAAGAUGUGACUUGAAGUUUUGACAGAUAUUUCUAGCAUAGAGCCGGAAAUCGGCGUCCACGAUCGAAAUUACGUUUGCAUUCAAAAUUGCAACACAGAUGUUCUACCACAGUUUCCUAUAAAACUGUAAUUCGCUCCUGAUAAAAAAAAAAAAAUAAAUAAAUAAGUAAAU